UUUGCGGAUCAGUAGCUUUUUGCAGCUUUUCAGAGCAACUGAGAAAUCGCAAAGGUGUGGAAAUGCAAAAGGCUGAAGUAAAUAAAGAAACAGCUCACGCUUCAAACCAUAAUUCCAAAAGCCUCCACUCAAAUGAUUCCAGGCUUGAGUUUCUUGAGUGGGUUUCUCCUUUUUGGGAGGAACAGAUCAAUUCAGUCAAAGACACUGAAUUCUAGUUCCUCUACAGAGGAAGACUUUUCUGAGUGGGCUGUGCGAUCAAUAGAUCCUUCAGGCAAUAAGAAAGCAUUGUUAAGGCUGGUAGAUGAUGCACAGGGAGACACAGAAGAAGGAUUGGGGAAGAGAGAAGAAAUGACCACAAGUAUGUUUAAAUACAAGUCAUUACAGCCAGAUCAAAUAGUUCACCUCUCCAAAUCUCUCAAACCUUAUGAGAACCCAUAUGAGACAAUGGAACAGCUACAAGCAUAUGCUGAUGUGUAUUCAUACUCCUUUAAGGAAAUGUUAGUGAUGCUAAAACUUGUCUUGAUAAAAGCAGACAGGCACCAAUUGGUCAAAUAUCUGAAGGAGCAUUCAGAUGCUAAGCACAACUGUCAAAGUAGAAAAGGCUGGCACAACUAUCAUUGCUGAAUUUCUAAAGAAGCUGAGGAAAGACAACGUUAAUUUUGGGCAGAUCGGAUCAAUAAAACAGAGGCCAGGCAAAACUAGAGAAUUACACACUCAGAUUCAAGGUUGCCAUUCUGAAAUAUAGUGGCACGGCCAGGACAGAACUGGAGACAGACAGAUUGCUGGCACAAAAUGCUAAUGAUAGCCCCUGGUAUCAGAUGUGGGUGAAAGAAAUAGACAAGAGUGUAGGUCAGACUCUCAAAAUGUUGGAGGGCACUUAUGAUGACCCUCAUUUGUUAAGGUAUCACUAUUGACUCUGUGUCACAGGCUUAUAGUCACCUUAAGUUCGAAAUGACAACUGUGUGCCAACUGGCUGCAAGUGACAAUGAUACCCCACAACAGGGUAAAAAUCUUAAGCCAAAGCAUCAAUAUGACGAAUCCCUUACUAUUAACCACCAUCCUGAUGGGUUUUAUGCUACAACUUUGACUGAUGAUUCAAAAUUGAGUUUGUGAUUGACACAGGGUGAGAUAAAUGCAAUACCUGAUAACAAUACAGUGGCUCAGUGGUAGAGCAUUGCGUUAGCAGCGCAAAGGUUGUGGGUUCGAUUCCCAGGGGAACACAUGUUAGGCAAAACAAUGUUAGCCUGAAUGCACUGUAAGUCACUUUGGAUAAAAGUGUCUGCUAAAUGUAAAAUGUAAAUGUAACAAUAAAUAUUAUGGUAUUUUCUGUUACACAGGAGAGAAUAUCGGAGUGGGUAGUGCUAUGCAUGGAGUUGCUAUGAUGAGAAAAAACACACCUAUUAUGAUAAACAUUGAGGGUAUGGAUGUAUUGGCUGCAGUAUGGGGCCAGUCUCACAGCCUCUACUUGGCCUUGACAUACUGUGUAGACUACCAGGCAGUCUGCAGGUGCAUGGGAACGUAUUAAUCCUGCUGAGACAGGUCAUCCCUUUUGAGGAAAAUAUGGUUACUGAGGGGAGUGUUCUGUACCCAGGGCAUUGCAAGUUCACAUUUCCCAAUUCACGAUCCA
ensembl:lncRNA